rnacentral:rRNA from 1 species
CCUACGGGAGGCUGCAGUGGGGAAUAUUGGGCAAUGGGCGCAAGCCUGACCCAGCAACGCAGCGUGAAGGAAGAAGGCCUUCGGGUUGUAAACUUCUUUUGAUAGGGAAGUGUAGAAGACCGUACCUGUCGAAUAAGCUACGGCUAAUUACGUGCCAGCAGCCGCGGUAAUACGUAGGUGACAAGCGUUGUCCGGAUUUACUGGGUGUAAAGGGCGUGUAGCCGGGUUGACAAGUCAGAUGUGAAAUCCUGCGGCUUAACCGCAGAACUGCAUUUGAAACUGUUGAUCUUGAGUACUGGAGAGGCAGACGGAAUUCCUAGUGUAGCGGUGAAAUGCGUAGAUAUUAGGAGGAACACCAGUGGCGAAGGCAGUCUGCUAGACAGCAACUGACGGUGAGGCGCGAAAGCGUGGGGAGCAAACAGGAUUAGAUACCCCAGUAGUC